rnacentral:tRNA from 1 species
UUUAGGGAGACCUACCCUUGAUAACUCCGAACCAAAUUGAAUUAGGAGUAUUGAGCGGUCACUCUAGGUCGUUCAGGACUUUGAGAUUAGUUUCUAGACUAUGGUUGAGGUUUAUUUUUUAGUCUUAUUAAGACUAAAAAACUAAACACGGGCUAUUAGCUCAGGUGGUUAGAGCGCACCCCUGAUAAGGGUGAGGUCCCUGGUUCGAGUCCAGGAUGGCCCACUUGUGGGGGUUUAGCUCAGUUGGUAGAGCGCCUGCUUUGCAAGCAGGAUGUCAGCGGUUCGAGUCCGCUAACCUCCACCACGACUGGCCACAUUAGCGGAAGGGAUUAAAUUCAGCACGGUGUGUUUUGGGUUAUCCAGGACAUAGUCUGCUGGGUGAGAGCCUAGCAAAGAACCUUGAAAACUGAAUACGAGAGAAGUGUAAGGUAGUACACACAGAACAUUCAAAGUUCGUUGAGAGAAGAGUGAGCUUGAUUAGUUUUGAUUAACUAAUUGAGUGAA